AUGCUCACUUCAGCAGCACACAGACUAACACUGGAAUGACACAGAGAAGAUUAACAUGGCCCCUGCUCAAGGAGGACAUGCAGAUUCGUAAAGUGCUCCGUAGUUCA
ensembl:snRNA U6 U6 spliceosomal RNA